UACGGGGGGGGCAAGCGUUGUUCGGAAUUACUGGGCGUAAAGGGCGCGUAGGCGGCCUGUUAAGUCGAACGUGAAAUCCCUGGGCUCAACCCAGGAACUGCGUCCGAUACUGGCAGGCUUGAAUUCGGGAGAGGGAUGUGGAAUUCCAGGUGUAGCGGUGAAAUGCGUAGAUAUCUGGAGGAACACCGGUGGCGAAGGCGGCAUCCUGGACCGAUAUUGACGCUGAGGCGCGAAAGCCAGGGGAGCAAACGGG
rnacentral:rRNA from 1 species